AAACAUUCUGGAACCGUAACUCAGGUGUAACGCAAUGAAGUCAACCAUGUAAACGUGUUGUCGAGUAGAUCAACAUGAGAUUUUCACACUAGGAGAGAAGAAGAGAAACUUCGUGAAAGUAUGGUCUCUUAGACAAGAGAAAAAACAUAAGUAAGCACUGUAAAGUGAUAGCUCAGAUUAUCUGGUAGGAUUUAAAGAUCAUAAUGGUACAAUGCGAUGUAG